AUUGAACGCUGGCGGCAUGCCUUACACAUGCAAGUCGAACGGCAGCAUAGGAGCUUGCUCCUGAUGGCGAGUGGCGAACGGGUGAGUAAUAUAUCGGAACGUGCCCUAGGGUGGGGGAUAACUAGUCGAAAGACUAGCUAAUACCGCAUACGAUCUACGGAUGAAAGUGGGGGAUCGCAAGACCUCAUGCCCCUGGAGCGGCCGAUAUCUGUUUAGCUAGUUGGUGGGGUAAAAGCCUACCAAGGCAACGAUCAGUAGCUGGUCUGAGAGGACGACCAGCGACACUGGGACUGAGACACGGCCCAGACUCAUACGGGAGGCAGCAGUGGGGAAUGUUGGACAAUGGGGGCAACCCUGAUCCAGCAAUGCCGCGUGAGUGAAGAAGGCCUUCGGGUUGUAAAGCUCUUUUGUCAGGGAAGAAACGGUAGUAGCGAAUAACUACUACUAAUGACGGUACCUGAAGAAUAAGCACCGGCUAACUACGUGCCAGCCGCCGCAGUAA
rnacentral:rRNA from 1 species